UCGCUCCAUUUAUUUUGGGAAGAAAAAGGGAGAAGACAGACGAUUAGUAAUAGGAAGAAGUUUUUAGAAAGGACUCAGAAGAGAAAGCAUCAAGGUUAUAAAAUGAGAAGAGGCUCGAGUGAAUUAUGUCAUAACUAGUGUUGAACAACUUUUGCUACUUGGUCGGAUGUUGCAAGGGACUACAAAAUUCCCUUGUAGUUUUGCUUGACAUCCAAUUGCUGCAGGAUCUUUCUUCACGCUUAUGCAUUUUGGCCUGAAAUUUUGUUCGUGUAAAAAACAGGGAAACCUUCAGAACUUGAGUUGCUGGAAGAUAGAAUAUAUAGGUGUAUCAUUUUGUCAUGUUCGUAAGUUUUUAUUCUUAACAUCUUGAUCGAGUGGGUCUUCUUGGGCAAGUCUUGUACAAUAAGCUGAAUUGAGCCUUUUUUUAAAGUGGUUAUAUACUUUGGCUCAUUGUAAACCUCUGACUACUCCAUUUUUCCAAUUAUAUUUUCUUUUCAAAAGAGCUGCCUUAGUGCCAGAAUGGUAUGAUAUGAAAAAUAAAUAUUUUGGUCAAUCCGUUUAGUAUCUGUCCAUCAUCUUGCUAAUGAGCAGGGAGUUGAAAAUGGCAGCUCCACAAAUGAGUCUACUCUGUAAGAUAAUUAUAAAGACCCUGAUGUUCUUUAUGCAUGAGUUUUGUGAAGCUGGGGAUCAGAAGGAUCACCAUUGGAUAACUAUGUUGUUGGGCGAGAGAAGCGAAGACAAUUACUUCUUAUGUUGAAGCUGGCAGACUUGAGGUUUGGGCUCAUUCUGUUGGAUCAAACUCUGACAAAUGGACUAAGUUUGCAAGGAUUGCCUUUACUGUUGAUCCUCGGAUUGCACUGUCGAUUUCCAGCAAAUUCUUAAGAGAAGACUGAAAUCAUGCAUCUAGUCCAAUAAGUUUACAUGUUAGCACUAUGUAUUAUUAUUAUUUCAUGGAGUGAAAGUAAAUUACAAUAUGAGUUGUAGUUAAAGCUUAAAUAAACAACUCUUUUUGGAA